UAUUACUUAAACCUACUUUGUUAUAAUUAACAGUUUGAACACUUAUAAUGUACAAAAAUAGCAGAUAUUUACACUGUAUUAUGGAGAAGUGUGACCAUUGAUUUAUUUUAAAUGUGGUGUCGUAACAUAAACCAACUGACAGUGGUUAUGCGAUAUGAGUACCUGUAACAACUCAACCAGAACAAAUAAACAGACACUUAAACAGAUUUCAAGGUUAAGUUCAAAACGAAAGGAGAAAUAAAAAAUGGCUUCCAAUUUAGAGAGCUCAUUUCAUAAAGGAUCAGAUUGGUUAUUUGACUUCUUGCUCCAUCUGCCAGGAAAAGGACAGAAAUACAUAGGCUGAAUUUUACUGUCAGGAAUGUUGCAAGUUUUACUGUACAAACUGCAUGGAGUACCAUAAGUAUUUUUUAAAGACACAUGAAACUUUGGGUAAAAAAAACAUCAGCCAGUGGCCUCAGAACAAUGUGGAUGCACAAGAGCAAUCAAGUUCAUCAGACCAGCUGGUAGAGAAAUAUCAACCAGGUGCAGCAACCAAGCCUGAUCCAAUAAUAAUAGUGACAAGUAGAAAGAAGUUCAAUGUUCGAAUUAAGGGUGAUUCAAUCAAAUGAUGGAUAAAUGGUAUCUGUGAGACAUCUAAUGGAGAACUCCUCAUCACAGACCACUACAACCGUAAAGUGAAGCUGCUGAAUCAGACCUACAAGAUAGUGGAUCACUAUGAGUUGCCUACCGGUAAUUAUCCAGUGUCCAUGUGCAGCAUUGACUCCAGUCUGGUGGCAGUUAUAAUCUUAGAAAGCAGAGAGAUUCACUUCAUCAGAGUGACCACCAAUGGUCGGCUGGUACAAGACAGGAAACUGAACCUCCAACAUGACUGCUCUGGUAUUGCCCAUCACCACGGCAACCUGUACAUAACAUCAGGAAUAGCCCUGUACCCGUACUCCUUAGAUGGGACACUGUUGAGAAAGUUGUAUGACGAUACAACAGGUCUUUACAAAAGUAGCUCCUGUGCAGUUAGUCAUGAUGGAGAAAGGAUAUAUGUGGCAAACAAGAGCAUCAAGUCCAUAGACUUUCAACUGGUCACUCUGUCCAGGGAUGGCAUAGUGAUCUCCAAACUUACUGAACAUGAAAUUUGUUUGAGUGAACGAUUUCCACCUGGCCUCCAUGUGACAGAUUCAGGACAAGUUCUGGUAUAUUACGAAUUUUCCAAGAACAUCUUCCAGAUAGACAGAGAUGGAAGAGAGAAACUGGCAGUGGUGGUCAGAAGUAAGAAUAAAGAGCCAUUAUCUGUCUUCUUCAGCAAACGCACAGGGUCACUCAUUAUGGGAGCGAGAGAUAACAAUAACAUUAAGGUGUUUAAGACACAGCGACUGUUGGAAAAUGAUGAUAAAUCACAAUUUAGAUAUACAUCAGUAAAGUUGAUAGUUUAAACAGUAUUUUAAUUAUAUAUGUGCCAUUUGUCAUCAGUAAAAUGGUUCUGACAUUUAACAAAAUAUUGUAAUACAUUGAUGAUUUGUAAAUGAGUGUUAUUACUGGUAUAUCAUUACUGUGAAACCAUUAUUAAUCGUCGGGCAUUAAUUUUCGUUAAUGUUGCAAGUUUUACUGUACAAACUGCAUGAAGUACCAUAAGUAUUUUUUAAGACACAUGAAACUUUGGGGAGAGAAAACAUCAGCCAAUGGCCUCAGAACGAUGUGGAUGCACAAGAGCAAUCAAGUUCAUAAGACCAGCUGGUCGAGGAAUAUCAACCAGGUGCAGUAAGCAAGCCUGAUCCAAUAAUAAUAGUGCGGAGUAGUAAGAAGUUCAAUGUUCGCAUCAAGGGUGAUUUUACCAAAUGUGAUAUAAAUGGUAUCUGUGAGACAUCAAACGAAGAACUCCUCAUCACAGACCACUACAACCGUAAAGUGAAGCUGCUGAAUCAGACCUACAAGAUAGUGGAUCACUAUGAGUUGCCUAAUUAUCCAGUGUCCAUGUGCAGCAUUGACUCCAGUCUGGUGGCAGUUAUAACUUUUGGCAGCAGUGAGAUUCACUUCAUCAGAGUGACCAACGGUCGGCUGGUACAGGACAGGACACUGAACCUCCAACAUAACUGUUCUGGUAUUGCCCAUCACCACGGCAACCUGUACAUAACAUCAGGAACAGACCUGUACCAGUACACUGUAGAUGGGACACUGUUGAGCAAGUUGAAUAACGAUACAACAGGUCUUUUGGAAAGUAGCUCCUGUGCAGUUAGUCCAGAUGGAGAAAGGAUAUAUGUGGCCAACAAGGCACAAGAGGACAGCAAUCUGGUCACACUGUCCAGGGAUGGAAGAGUGAUCUCCAAACUAACUGACCCUGCAAUGUACUGGUUGGAACAACUACCACCUGGCCUUCAUGUGACAGAUUCAGGACAAGUUCUGGUAUGUGGUGUAUUUUCCAGCCUUGUCUUCCAGAUGGACAGAGAUGGAAGACAGAAACUGGCAGAGGUGGUCAAAAGGAAGAAUGAAGUACCAUUAUCUGUCUUCUUCAGCUGGCGCACAGGGUCACUCAUUAUGGGAUUGUUGGAUAACAAUAACAUUAUGGUGUUUAAGGCACAGUGACUGUUGGAAAAUGAUGAUGAAUCAAAAUUUAGAUAUACAUCAGUAAAGUUGUUAAUUCAUGCAGUAUUUCCAAUGUGUAUAUAUGAGUCAUUUGUCAUCAGUUAACAGUGUUCGGACAUUUAACAAUAUAUUGUAAUAAAUUAAUGAUUUGUAAA